GGAGGACAUCUUGACCGUGACAUCUGUCAUUCCACUGGCCGCACGAGUCUGUGGCUGAUUUGAUUGGUAGGUGGGUAGCCGUGCUCUGCUGACAGCUCCAGGUAUGCCCUUCCCAAAGCUACAUACUCAGUGAAGAGGACGACCUUCUUCAAGAGAACAGCAUUUCUCCAAUAGCGAAAAGCCAACCUUUCUUCUGUGCUCCCUCCUAGACUUUGAAAACAAGCUCUCAAAAAAUGGCAGCACAAUGCCCUAUGUUAUAGUUGAACUAAGGGAGUCAUCUUUACUUUUCUU
rnacentral:sRNA from 1 species